rnacentral:rRNA from 1 species
GACGAACGCUGGCGGCGUGCUUAACACAUGCAAGUCGAACGGAAAGGCCCUGCUUUUGUUGGGUGCUCGAGUGGCGAACGGGUGAGUAACACGUGAGUAACCUGCCCUUGACUUUGGGAUAACUUCAGGAAACUGGGGCUAAUACCGGAUAGGAGCUCCUGCUGCAUGGUGGUGGUUGGAAAGUUUCGGCGGUUGGGGAUGGACUCGCGGCUUAUCAGCUUGUUAGUGGGGUAGUGGCUUACCAAGGCUUUGACGGGUAGCCGGCCUGAGAGGGUGACCGGCCACAUUGGGACUGAGAUACGGCCCAGACUCCUACGGGCGGCAGCAGUGGGGAAUAUUGCACAAUGGGCGGAAGCCUGAUGCAGCAACGCCGCGUGCGGGAUAACGGCCUUCGGGUUGUAAACCGAUUUCGCCUGUGACGAAGCGUGAGUGACGGUAAUGGGUAAAGAAGCACCGGCUAACUACGUG